rnacentral:rRNA from 1 species
GACGAACGCUGGCGGCGUGCUUAACACAUGCAAGUCGAACGGAAAGGCCCUGCUUUUGUGGGGUGCUCGAGUGGCGAACGGGUGAGUAACACGUGAGUAACCUGCCCUUGACUUUGGGAUAACUUCAGGAAACUGGGGCUAAUACCGGAUAGGAGCUCCUGCUGCAUGGUGGGGGUUGGAAAGUUUCGGCGGUUGGGGAUGGACUCGCGGCUUAUCAGCUUGUUGGUGGGGUAGUGGCUUACCCAGGCUUUGACGGGUAGCCGGCCUGAGAGGGUGACCGGCCACAGUGGGACUGAGAUACGGCCCAGACUCCUACGGGAGGCAGCAGUGGGGAAUAUUGCACAAUGGGCGGAAGCCUGAUGCAGCAACGCCGCGUGCGGGAUGACGGCCUUCGGGUUGUAAACCGCUUUCGCCUGUGACGAAGCGUGAGUGACGGUAAUGGGUAAAGAAGCACCGGCUAACUACGUG